GGAUUCCCCUCUCGGCCGUUGUCUCCCUUCCUCUUCCUCCCGCCGUUGCGGAAAGCGGUUCCGACGGACAUCCGUUCAACCCCUCGUUUUCCUCCUUAUUUCCUCAUACUUAAAAUAAUAACAAUAGUAUGAGAUUUAGUAAAUCUGAUCUUUUAUAGAUAGAUUUUGUUUCUCUAAACCCUAUCUAGGGUUUAGGUUCCUCCUAUCCGAAGAAUUUAUUCACGCUUCUAAGGUUUUUGUGUGCUAAUUUAUAUCAAUUUAUCAAGGUCCGAUUAUGGGCCUCUCUAGACUCUCACAGCUGGGAUCCCGGUUCUUCAUACAGCCUGGAACAGAAAAAGUCUUCCUUUUCCUAGUGCAGCCACUGGUAAAGCUUAUGAGGAAAGCAGUGAACAAAAGAGAAGAUAACUGUGGCAUUUGUUGAUAAAGAUGGCAAUGAAAAGGUCAUCCCAGUUCUUAUUGGAAUGUCAUGUUAGAAGCAGCCCAUGAAAAUGACAUAGAACCUGAAGGUUUUUAUCCUGUGAUCACUAGACAACAUAUAGAUUUUCAUAAGAAUUUGCUUUAUAUAGAAUGUGAACUCAUUUGCCCUUUUCUACAGUCAACAGUUGCUGAUUUGCCUAAGAACCUCUUGAGUAGUCAUGUAUUUGAUCAUCUCCAAUGAUCAAAUACUUUGAUAAGGUUUUUGUGAAUAAUGAAUUUUUAUCUACAAGUGGUUUGAUGAAAUUGUUGUAUCGCAUACCUUUAUAUUGUGUUCAUUAUUCAGUUUUGGUUGCACUAUAUUUCUGAUGUGGUCUCAGGAGCGUGUGAGGGCUCACUAGCUUGUUCUACCUGCCAUGUGAUUGUGAUGGUAUAUUCUUGAUUACUACACUAGAUUGUAUAUAUAAUUUUGAGGAUUUUGAUGCAUCCUCUGACUGGUAUGAUUUUCUCAACUCCAGCAUCAUUUUUU